rnacentral:lncRNA from 1 species
CUUAAGUUGCUAUGAAAUGAAUUUCUUUUCAUUCUGUUGACUGCAUUGUCCAUUAUAUGAUUUAGUGUUAAAUUUGUUUUCCUUCAUCUUUUGUUCCGUUCACCAGAAUGCAUAGGCAGCCAGAGCAUGUAAUGACAUUCUUGCUGGCUGAAUUGGGUACAAGCGGGUCGCUUGAUGGACAAAAAAGAACGGUAGUUAAGGGAAGAUUUGCACCAAAUGAUAAGCCAAGUCCAACACACACUUCAUCAUCAAAAGAGAUCCUUUCGAAAAGAUUUGCAGUCUGCAUAUGUUCAGGAAAAAGAUUAGUUAGAUUAGUCGCACCACAGUAAGGACAACAAUAGUAUACUAUCGGAGGCAGUUGUAAUUGACUAUUCUUUUUUAACCAUUUAUGGCAGCAACUGAGAUAAGUAAUAAGUUAUACAUUCAGGCUUAUGUCAGGAAGGAAUCCUUAAAAGUAAUGUAAAAGCAGGUUGGAAGAGAAACUCCAUAACCAGAAAGUAAGAUCAAUUUAGCAAGAUAUCAAACAUUAUACGGUAUACAGAUUAAAGGGGAAAAAAAGAAAAAAAAGAGAAGAAUUUCAUCAUUGAUAAACCCACAUCAUGCUUAGGAUCAACAAAAUUCAAAACAAACAUACAGUUGCUAGCAGGAACAAAAUGCUAGUGUCAGUGUCGUCUCAUUAGACAGCUUACUGCUAUUACCAUAUUCCAAAUAAAUCUUAUUUAUUAACCACAAUGGUCAUCAAGUAAUGGCAAUGUAACUACCUUUUUUGCACGUAGGGUUUUGAUUCAAAUUACUAACUAAAGCUAUAAAGUUAAAUGAGACAAAUACAACUUUCUACAGCAAUCGUGUAGCUGCUUACCUAGAAUUAGGAUGGUAUACUUUCGCUUCUUGUUCCCAGAGAAUUAAGUUUUAUAUCCAAAAGUUGCUCUUACUGACUGAUAAUAUUUUUUU